rnacentral:lncRNA from 1 species
GGGGGAGGGUCUAGCAAGUCAACAUUUAAGGUAAAACUAUAUUUAAAAAAAGGACUACGCAUCUACCAUACAUGAAGCUCCUUGAAAAGGGCGUGCCUUCCGCUCCCUUCUCCCCCAAAAAAAUGUGCCUCGGCAAUUUUAAACCCUUUUACCCAAUAUAUUCAUGUAGCUGUACAAUGGAGGCUAUGGGACUACAAUCUAAGUAGACAUCAGAUUCUGAAUCACCGAAAUUCAACUUAUAUUUUCAUGUAUAAUUUGAUAAUUAAAUUUUAAC